UACAGAGGGUGCGAGCGUUAAUCGGAAUUACUGGGCGUAAAGCGCGCGUAGGCGGCUUUGCAAGUCGGGUGUGAAAUCCCCAGGCUUAACCUGGGAACUGCAUUCGAGACUGCAUUGCUAGAGUAUGGGAGAGGGAAGUGGAAUUUCCGGUGUAGCGGUGAAAUACGUAGAUAUCGGAAGGAACAUCAGUGGCGAAAGCGACUUCCUGGACCAAUACUGACGCUCAUGUGCCGAAAGCGUGGGGAGCAAACAGGAUUGAGAA
rnacentral:rRNA from 1 species